rfam:Oryza nivara chromosome 10, whole genome shotgun sequence.
AAAAAGAUAAACCCUGGGUUUCCGUGUCCAACGUUUGACUGUCUGUCUUAUAUGAAAUUUUUUUAUAAUUAUUAUUUUCAUUAUUGUUAGAUGAUAAAACAUGAUUAAUACUUUAUGCGCGACUUGUCUUUUUAAUUUUUUUCAUAAUUUUUUUAAAUAAGACGGAUGGUCAGACAAACGUUGGACACGGAAACUCAGAGUUUGUCUUUUC